rnacentral:piRNA from 1 species
ACCAGAUAUGGUCCUUUCCACC